UACGUAGGUGGCAAGCGUUGUCCGGAAUUAUUGGGCGUAAAGCGCGCGCAGGUGGUCCUUUAAGUCUGAUGUGAAAGCCCACGGCUCAACCGUGGAGGGUCAUUGGAAACUGGGGGACUUGAGUGCAGGAGAGAAAAGUGGAAUUCCACGUGUAGCGGUGAAAUGCGUAGAGAUGUGGAGGAACACCAGUGGCGAAGGCGACUUUUUGGCCUGUAACUGACACCGAGGCGCGAAAGCGUGGGGAGCAAACAGG
rnacentral:rRNA from 1 species